ACUAGUUUGUGAUCUCUCUAUUUACUCGAAUAAUUCAGGUAAUGGCUAGCAAGACAAAGAUAUAUAUUGUUAUGGAAUUUGUUACCGGUGGCGAACUGUUUGACAAAAUUGCUAGUAAAGGAAGGCUGAAAGAAGACGAAGCAAGAAAAUAUUUCCAGCAGCUAAUCAAUGCAGUAGACUACUGUCACAGUAGAGGUGUGUGCCACAGAGACCUCAAGCCUGAGAAUUUGCUGCUGGAUGCCAGUGGAUUUCUCAAAGUUUCAGAUUUUGGAUUGAGUGCUCUUCCGCAGCAACUUCGGGAAGACGGGCUACUGCACACAAAAUGUGGGACGCCAAACUAUGUUGCUCCUGAGGUGAUCAACAAUAAAGGCUAUGAUGGAGCGCAGGCAGAUCUUUGGUCCUGUGGUGUGAUCCUUUAUGUAUUCAUGGCUGGUUAUUUACCCUUUGAAGAAUCUAAUCUUAUGGCAUUAUAUAAAAAGAUAUUGAAGGCUGAUUUUACAUGUCCACCAUGGUUCUCCACAAGCGCAAAGAAACUAAUUAAAAAAAUCCUGGACCCCAAUCCUCAGACGCGUAUGACAUUUGCUGAGGUCAUUGGGAAUGAUUGGUUCAAGAAGGGCUAUAAGCCGCCAGUUUUUGAGCAGGAAAAUGUUAAUCUUGAUGAUGUGAAUGCGAUCUUUAAUGAAUCAGCGGACGCUUCAAAUCUUGUUGUCGAGAGACGGUUAGAACAACGGUCUACUGCACCACUGUCUAUGAAUGCCUUUGAACUAAUUUCUAAAUCUCAGGGCCUCAAUCUUAGCUCUCUUUUCGAAAAGCAAAUGGGGCUUGUUAAAAAAGAAACUAGAUUUACAUCCAAACGUCCUGCCAGCGAGAUAAUCUCAAAAAUCGAAGAAACCGUUGCACCGUUGGGAUUCAAUGUGAGGAAGAAUAACUAUAAGUUAAGGCUUGCUGGGGAAAAGACUGGUCGCAAGGGUAAUUUGUCCGUUGCAACAGAGAUUUUUGAGGUGGCCCCUUCGCUUUACAUGGUAGAGCUUCGAAAAGCCGAAGGAGAUACCUUAGAAUUUCACCAGUUCUACAAGAACCUAUCAGUUGGGUUGAAGGAUAUUGUUUGGAAAACUGACCAGGAAGUGAGAGCAGAACGCGAAGCUGGUGCAGGCACCGUGUCAGCGUAGUUCUGGCUGGAUUUUCGUGUUCUCCCUCGAGGCAUGACAUCUUGAGUGGCCUCGGGGAGUGAACUUAUGGUUGGAUUUUCGUGUUCUCGGUUAAAGCUUCAGCAACAUGUACAUUAUUAUUUGCCCUGUUCAACUCAUACUACAGAUGAAAUGGUUUGGAACAAACUAUGCCACUUCUGGAUGUGUAUAAUGACUGACUGAAUCUUCAUUUUUAUAAUAAUCAUCCUGAAACUCUAUAAAGUAAUUUUUAUGUUUUUCAUUCUUCAUUUUAUUUUCAUAUUUGCAAGGAAAAUGAAAAUUCACUCCAUGUUAAAUAGUUGAUGAGCUCAUGUAGUGUCUAAAGAAGAAUGUUUUCUUACUUUUGAGUAAACAAUUUUUUUUUUGUUUUUUUUUU